UAGCUCAACUGGAUAGAGCAACUGACUUCUAAUCAGUAGGUUGCAGGUUCAAGUCCUG
rnacentral:tRNA from 1 species